UUGAACGCUGGCGGCAUGCCUUACACAUGCCAGUCGAACGGCAGCAUGGGUGCUUGCACCUGGUGGCGAGUGGCGAACGGGUGAGUAAUACAUCGGAACAUGUCCUGUAGUGGGGGAUAGCCCGGCGAAAGCCGGAUUAAUACCGCAUACGAUCUACGGAUGAAAGCGGGGGACCUUCGGGCCUCGCGCUAUAGGGUUGGCCGAUGGCUGAUUAGCUAGUUGGUGGGGUAAAGGCCUACCAAGGCGACGAUCAGUAGCUGGUCUGAGAGGACGACCAGCCACACUGGGACUGAGACACGGCCCAGACUCCUACGGGAGGCAGCAGUGGGGAAUUUUGGACAAUGGGCGAAAGCCUGAUCCAGCAAUGCCGCGUGUGUGAAGAAGGCCUUCGGGUUGUAAAGCACUUUUGUCCGGAAAGAAAUCCUUGGCCCUAAUACGGUCGGGGGAUGACGGUACCGGAAGAAUAAGCACCGGCUAACUACGUG
rnacentral:rRNA from 1 species